UGCAUAGUUCAGUGGUAGAACAUCUGCUUUGCAUGCAGAAGGUCACAGCCUCUAUUCCUGGCAAUAAUAA